rnacentral:misc_RNA from 1 species
GAAAUGCGAUAAGUAAUGCGAAUUGCAGAAUUUCCGUGAGUCAUCGAAUCUUUGAACGCACAUUGCGCCCAUUGGUAUUCCGAUGGGCAUGCCUGUUCGAGCGUCAUUACAACCCUCAAGCUCUGCUUGGUAUUGGGCUUCGCUGGAGCAAUCCGGCGGGCCUCAAAGCUAUAGGCGGCGGUGCCCCUGCUUUAAGCGUAGUAAACUUGAUAGUCUCGCUUCUGCAGUUGUCCCGGUCGUCUUGCCAUAAAAGCCCAAACUUUUUUUGUUUUCUAUGGUUGACCUCGGAUCAGGUAGGAAUACCCGCUGAACUUAAGC